rnacentral:rRNA from 1 species
CAAUAGCGUAUAUUAACGUUGUUGCAGUUAAAAAGCUCGUAGUUGGAUUUCUGGAGGGAGCGUCGACCCGUAUUUACGAGUGCGUGACGUCUCUGUCCAUCCUUGCGGGAAGGCACGGCAUUGAUUUGUUGUGUCGGAUCGCAUCAUUUACUGUGAAAAAAUUAGAGUGUUCAAAGCAGGCUUUCGCUUGAAUACAUUAGCAUGGAAUAAUAAGAUAGGACUUUGGUGCUAUUUUGUUGGUUGAGCCUAAAGUAAUGAUUAAUAGGGAUAGUUGGGGGCACCUGUAUUGCGUUGUCAGAGGUGAAAUUCUUGGAUUUACGCAAGACAAACAGCUGCGAAAGCGUCUGCCAAGGAUGUUUNCAUUA